rnacentral:rRNA from 1 species
ACCAGUACCGUGAGGGAAAGGCGAAAAGAACCCCGGCGAGGGGAGUGAAAAAGAACCUGAAACCGUGUACGUACAAGCAGUGGGAGCCCCACCACUAAGCCAGUGGUGAACUCCACAUACGCAUCCUUUGCUGAAGGCAAUGGUUAACGGAGCGAAAGCGACGUUCAACCGCAAAACAAGCAGAGGGGGCUUAGUGGUGGGGUGACUGCGUACCUUUUGUAUAAUGGGUCAGCGACUUAUAUUCUGUAGCAAGGUUAACCGUAUAGGGGAGCCGGAGGGAAACCGAGUCUUAAUUGGGCGUUAAGUUGCAGGGUAUAGACCCGAAACCCGGUGAUCUAGCCAUGGGCAGGUUGAAGGUUGGGUAACACUAACUGGAGGACCGAACCGACUAAUGUUGAAAAAUUAGCGGAUGACCUGUGGCUGGGGGUGAAAGGCCAAUCAAACCGGGAGAUAGCUGGUUCUCCCCGAAAGCUAUUUAGGUAGCGCCUCGUGAAUUCAUCUCCGGGGGUAGAGCACUGUUUCGGCUAGGGGGCCAUCCCGGCUUACCAACCCGAUGCAAACUGCGAAUACCGGAGAAUGUUAUCACGGGAGACACACGGCGGGUGCUAACGUCCGUCGUGAAGAGGGAAACAACCCAGACCGCCAGCUAAGGUCCCAAAGUCAUGGUUAAGUGGGAAACGAUGUGGGAAGGCCCAGACAGCCAGGAUGUUGGCUUAGAAGCAGCCAUCAUUUAAAGAAAGCGUAAUAGCUCACUGGUCGAGUCGGCCUGCGC